GAUGAUGGCAAAGCGGUUAAAUGGAGGAAAGUAAUUUGAGCUCUUGCCUUCAAGCGGGAGAAAGACCAAAGAAAAACCAAACGAUGAAUUUACAGAAAUGUCUGUUACUCAACCAUGGAAGGUGGUUAAGUGCAACAAAGGAGUCCUGGAGAUUUUUGACAAAGGAAGCAACAUGACAGAUGCGUUCCGAAAGUAUGGUGUGGACCGAAACACGGUUAUGCAGAGUGCAGCUAUUGCUGAACUGGCCAUUGCAGCUCUUAUUCUAUGCAGAACGAUACAGAAAUUCAAAAUAAACAGGGAGAGAAAUUAUUAAGCAUUUACUCAAAAUUGUCAAGAUGAUAUUAUGGCAGAUGAGAGCAUUGCACACAAAAUACAAGCCAUGAAAAAUGAGGGGAAAUUGCUUUUAAUAAAAAAAAAAAAUGAUUGUUGUAAAGAAAAAAAAGGUUUUAAAUGUAUGUGUAUAUACACUUUUUAUACUUUAUUUUUUAUCUUUAUAAUUAUUAUGUUACUUAUUUGUUUCUUUUUUAUAUUAUUGCACAGUAUAUGUUAUGUAAUGUACAGUAAUAAAGAUUUAGAAAGUCUAAG
rnacentral:lncRNA from 1 species